GACGAACGUUGGCGGCGUGCCUAAUACAUGCAAGUCAACUGAAAUACCGGUAGCAAUACUGGUAUGGAGGUGGCGCACGGGUGAGUAACACGUAGGUAAUCUGCCUUCAGGUCUGACAUAACCCAUCGAAAGGUGAGCUAAUAUCAGAUGAUGCAGCGGCUUGACAUCAAGACAGUUGUUAAAGCUUCGGCGCCUGAAGAUGAGCCNGCGUCUGAUUAGCUAGUUGGCGGGGUAACGGCCCACCAAGGCUGCGAUCAGUAGCUGGUCUGAGAGGAUGAUCAGUCACACUGGAACUGAGACACGGUCCAGACUCCUACGGGAGCAGCAGUAAGGAAUAUUGCUCAAUGG
rnacentral:rRNA from 1 species